UUGUCGUGGCCCGCCACUAUACCUCAUCAAUUAUAAUGACCACAAGGUCAUAAACUGACCUCAUACUUUCUCUUCUCAUCUCGUUCUCCCUCUUCUUCACAGCUUUCAUUUUCUUUUUCUUUUUCCAUUAUUUAAGCUUAGAUUUCUUCUACACCUUUAAGAUUUUGAUCUUGUCAUAGAAGGCAAAGUUGAUGAGCGUGUUGAGGGAUUCGUUUUGAUAGGAAGAAAUCACCAUUUAGAGCAAUUUCUGAUUUUCGAAUUUUGGGUGCAUUUGGGGUUUUCUUCUAUAUUUGAGGGCAUGAUCCUAUUUACUUUUACACUAUGCUUUGUGUGGAUUCAUGGGGUCAUUAAGAGGUAUGUCUUAGACACUUUCUACUGAGCCGUUGUGCUCACCCCAUUACUUUAAUAUUUUCAAGACAUGGAAAGGAGGUGGCGGAUGAUGAUCUACCACAGGCGUCAUUAGAAGCUUAUUUUGUCAUAUUUGGCAUUUAGAUUUUAUCUUUUUGUAAAGGCAUCAUUUCGAAAAUGUAUUAGAAUUACAAAGCAUAGCCUUGUAUUGUAAUCAAGAUCUCUUGACAGUAUUUUAAUGUAAAUUGAUCUAUUUGUAAUGGCCAUGGAUGCAUAUAUUAAUUUUGUUAUAUAUUUGGACAUGAACGGGAUGAUGAUGAACUAUUUUGAGGAUAAUGUUAAUGUUGUUGGUUUUGGAUUAAUGUUUAUUAUUUGCAUUGUGCAUGCGUUGGAACAUGGUAGAUUAGUUUUAAGGCCCUAAGUGAGGCCAUUGCAUUUCUUAUGCAUUAUUGCAGGUUAGUAGCAGGAUUCUUUAAUGUAGAGGUCAUGCUGGUCGACCAAAUUUUAGUAUCGGUUGUCCGGUAUCUCUUUGGGUCGUUACAGUGAUUUUGGGGUUAAUUUGCAGUGGUUGUGGGGAAGAAGUUCACUCACGCCGAGUCCAAGUGGAUUUGAGUUUGUGGGUGAGUUUAGAAUUUGUCUAAAAUGGUAAUUUUACAUUGUCUGAAUUUUUUUAUUAUUUUAUUUUAUUGACAAGAGAUAUUAAUGUCUUUUUAUGCGAACAUGGGGUAUUUGGACCAAAUUGAUAGUAUGAGGGGUUUUAUACCACACAGUAACUUUUUUGUACUAUAUGGAUAGUAGAAAAAAUUAUAAUGCAAUACUGGGCAAAAAAAAUUUAAAAAGAUUAAAUAUUAGUUGCUGCUCCAUUGUAAAAAGAAUAAAUUUUUAUAAUAAUGUUUCGUUUGGUAGGAAGGAAGGAAAAAGGGUGGAUAGAAGACAGGAAAGAAGAAACAAAUUUCUUUCAUUUGAUAGAGAGGAGGCAAGGAUAGAACAGAAAGGAAGGAAAAAGGGUGGAUAGAAGACAGGAAAGAAGAAACAAAUUUCUUUCAUUUGAUAGAGAGGAGGCAAGGAUAGAACAGAAAAGACGAUAGAUGAAAAAUCCUUUCUCCUCCACAAAUAUUUAUAAAAAAAGGACAAGGCUAUUAUAAAAAAUUUUAAAUUAUCAAAAUUUUCUUAUAAUUAACAUACUAUAUAUAUUCUCUUCUCUCCUAAGAAACAAAUUCUCUCCUAACAAACAAAAUAAGGUCUCUUAUUUUUCCAUACAAUAAAAAAAAAAAAAAAAGAAAA